rnacentral:misc_RNA from 1 species
CCGAGUGCGGGCCCUCGCGCCCAACCUCCCAACCCUUUGUCGAUUCAUAUCUGUUGCCUCGGGGGGCGACCCGGACGUCACGUCCGGGAGUCCCCCAGAGGUCCAACCCAACACACUGCGUCUUUGCGUCGGAGUAUUGAAAACAAUCAAUCA